rnacentral:rRNA from 1 species
CAGUCGCCACGGUAAUACGUAGGGUGCAAGCGUUGUCCGGAAUCAUUGGGCGUAAAGCGCGCGUAGGUGGCCAUUUAAGUCCGCUGUGAAAGUCGAAGGCUCAACCUUUGAAAGCCGGUGGAUACUGGAUGGCUAGAGUACGGAAGAGGCGAGUGGAAUUCCUGGUGUAGCGGUGGAAUGCGCAGAUAUCAGGAGGAACACCAAUAGCGAAGGCAGCUCGCUGGGACGUUACUAACACUAAGGCGCGAAAGCGUGGGGAGCGAACAGGAUUAGAUACCCCAGUAGUCCCUGUCUCUUAUAC